AUUGAACGCUGGCGGCAGGCCUAACACAUGCAAGUCGAGCGGAGCGGCGGACGGGUGAGUAAUGCCUAGGAAUCUGCCUGGUAGUGGGGGUUAACGUCCGGAAAGGGGCGCUAAUACCGCAUACUAUCAGAUGAGCCUAGGGCGGAUUAGGUAGGUGGUGGGGUAAAGGGCUACCAAGGCGACGAUCCGGAACUGGUCUGAGAGGAGGAUCAGUCACACUGGAACUGGGCCACCGUCCAGACUCCUACGGGAGGCAGCAGAGGGGAAUAUUGGACAAUGGGCGAAAGCCUGAUCCAGCCAUGCCGCGUGUGUGAAGAAGGUCUUCGGAUUGUAAAGCACUUUAAGUUGUGAGGCGUUACUAACAGAAUAAGCACCGGCUAACUUCGUGCCAGCAGCCGCGGUAAUUC
rnacentral:rRNA from 1 species